rnacentral:rRNA from 1 species
UACGUAGGGUGCAAGCGUUAAUCGGAAUUACUGGGCGUAAAGCGUGCGCAGGCGGUUGUGCAAGACAGAUGUGAAAUCCCCGGGCUUAACCUGGGAAUUGCAUUUGUGACUGCACGGCUAGAGUGUGUCAGAGGGGGGUAGAAUUCCACGUGUAGCAGUGAAAUGCGUAGAGAUGUGGAGGAAUACCGAUGGCGAAGGCAGCCCCCUGGGAUAACACUGACGCUCAUGCACGAAAGCGUGGGGAGCAAACAGG